rnacentral:rRNA from 1 species
CUAAGAAUCUUCCGCAAUGGGGGAAACCCUGACGGAGCGACGCCGCGUGGGCGAUGAAGGCCGGAAGGUUGUAAAGCCCUUUUCUUGGCGAAGAAUAAGGCUGGCAGUGGACUAGCCAGCUGAUGACGUUAGCCGAGGAAUAAGCCCCGGCCAAUUACGUGCCAGCAGCCGCGGUAACACGUAUGGGGCGAGCGUUGUUCGGAGUUAUUGGGCGUAAAGGGCGUGUAGGCGGCUUUCGCAAGCUUGGUGUUAAAGGUUUCGGCCUAACCGGAACAGUGCGCUGAGAACUGCGGAGCUGGAGUCUAGGAGGGGGAGCUGGAAUUCCAGGUGUAGGGGUGAAAUCUGUAGAUAUCUGGAAGAACACCGGUGGCGAAGGCGAGCUCCUGGCCAUAGACUGACGCUGAGGCGCGAAAGCGUGGGGAGCAAACAGG